CAUUGUAUCCCACUGAUGAAGAUAUCUUCAUGGUUUCUGUGUCGAGCAACAACCUCUUACUUCGACCGUCAAUGCAAACACCGUUAUCUUUACGACUAGGUGUUUCAAAACCAGGUGUAGAUCGUGCAAGAGGAGUGGUGAAUGUGAAUGAAACGACAUCAGUCCCUUCUUUCCUUUUGCUCUCUUCUGUCCAACUAAAGUUUCUUUUGCCAGCAGCCGAAUCGUGACAUUCUUCUUCCUUUUGUUCAAUCAACAUGCUGUCAAGAACAGUCUGAUUGUUGUCGAAUUGCAAAUUUCCAUCGAGCGACCGUUUCUUCCUCGGCGUGUUCUUUACAAUGCAGUUUGAAGAACCUGCCUCAUCUGUGCCUGAUUUCUUCGCCCCGUAUUUGGACGAGCUAGCAGUUUUGCCUGAAGUUCUAGGUCUCCCAUAAGG
rnacentral:lncRNA from 1 species